rnacentral:rRNA from 1 species
GAUGAACGCUAGCGGCAGGCUUAAUACAUGCAAGUCGAGGGGCAGCAUGAUUGUAGCAAUACAAUUGAUGGCGACCGGCAAACGGGUGCGGAACACGUACACAACCUCCCAAUAAGUGGGGAAUAGCCCAGAGAAAUUUGGAUUAAUACCCCGUAACAUAACGAUGUGGCAUCACAUUGUUAUUAUAGAUUUUUCGCUUAUUGAUGGGUGUGCGUCUGAUUAGAUAGUUGGCGGGGUAACGGCCCACCAAGUCUACGAUCAGUAUCUGAUGUGAGAGAAUGAUCAGCCACACGGGAACUGAGACACGGGACCGACGCCUACGGGAGGCAGCAGUAAGGAAUAUUGAACAAUGGACGCAAGUCUGAUCCAGCCAUGCCGCGUGAAGGAUUAAGGUCCUCUGGGUUGUAAACUUCUUUUAUAAGGGACGAAAAAAGGCUUUUCUAAGUCGUCCGACGGUACCUUAUGAAUAAGCACCGGCUAACUCCGUGCCAGCAGCCGCGGUAACAC